ensembl:lncRNA
GUUUCGGUGAAGUUUAAUAAACUCCUUGCUAUCUAAAAUAUAACAGGACACCGGAGUAAAUUCUCAGCAUCUCACACUUCUGAUAAUCAGCUGUCUGCUUGACGUUUAUUCAGCUGUGUAAAAACUAUAACUUUAAUCUCAGCCAAACAGAUUUACUCAGGAACAAAUAAAAUACUAAAAAAAAGCCAAACAAUAACAUUUUUAAGUUAUCUAAGUGACCUAUAUAUCAUGUUUAACCUGAGUAGCGAAAGACGGCGGUGGGUUUGAAAACGAUCUGCCGGGAGUCCGGUGUUCUCACGGCUCUAGUUAGCCUAGCCCCCGGCUAGCUAUCGAGCUAGUGGGUAACAGAUGUCUCCGAAAACGUCGGAGCGCUUUUGAAAAUAUGUGGUGUCCUGAUAAACUGAGCAGAUAUUUGAGGUUUACACAGCUACAUUCUCGCCUGAAAAUAUGUUAAACGUUUAUUUUGUGACCCAGAAAGAAUAAUAAGAGUAACAUUAAAACUAACUAGCUGCCGCCAUUGUUGGAAACUGCGCUGGGCCGCGCUAUGAAUUCUGGGACACAGCUGCUGCUGCUUCUUCUUCUUCUUCGGGGUUUAACGGCAGCUGACACAUUUCCAGUUCACGCGCGUUAAAAUAUGAUAUUUUGGGGCGCGGGGGAUUUUUCUUGGACACGCGUAGAGGUUGCGAAUGUGCAGGCGUCAAGUUAGGGGCGUUUUGGGAUUUUUUCACGCGCCCAUCGCGUUCGGUGUGAACACACGGUAACACAGUGUGCUGAGUCUGUGCUAUGAAUAUGUUGCAGUGAGUACAAUGUAAGCAUUCACUGCAUUUACAGUACCUACACCCAGUCACAUGUGUGGUGAAGAUACAGAGAAUGAAAUAUAAUUAUUAAUGAAAUAACCAUCCAUCCAUUCUCAGUGCUUCCAAGGAGGAAAUAGAAGCCACUGAUGUCAAGACCAGGAAUGCAUGGAGGGUUUCUCCCCCAGACCAGCACCCUGAGGCUGUACGCUAAGGAGAAGGAAGGGGGCCGGGGACUGGUGAGUGUCAGCACCACAGUCCAGGAUGAGACAAGGAACAUCCAAGAAUACAUUGGGAAGAUGGCCCCAACUGACCGAGUGCUCAGUGAAUACCUCAGGCAGCAGAAACCCAAGAAAGAGGAGGGAGACGAGGAACCAUCAUGGAAGGACAGGCCCCUGCAUGGUAUGUACCACCGGCAGAUAGAGGAGGUGGCUGAUAUCCAGAAAUCCUACCAGUGGCUGGACAAAGCUGGACUGAAAGACAGCACAGAGGCACUAAUCAUGGCAGCACAAGAACAAGCUCUGAGUACAAGAUCCAUAGAGGCUGGGGUCUAUCACAGCAGGCAGGUCUGUAUUUAUAUCCAGGCUGACAUGGAGUUCAGGGUUCAACACUCAGGAAAGUGUGAGACCUUCCACACUGACAGAAGAUGCUGCACAUGAUUAAACUGUUGUUUGUUAAAGCCUCACAGAUCUGAGAGCAGAGCUCAGUGGCUGCACGAGCCUUUAUACAUGAAGCGUUUCAGGUUCAUUUAAAUCAGUGUUUCUGUUUCCAGCAGAGCAAACAUGAUCCAGCUGUUUCACAUGGAUCUGUGUGGAUGCAGCAGCACCUGACUCUGUACAUCAGCUCUCAGGCGAUGCUGCAGCGCCCCCUGGUGACACAAACUCCUCCCUCUGUCUCAGAGGUCAGAGGUCAGCCUGCUGCUGAGGGUCUGCCUGUUUAUGGACUUCCUGUCACAGACCCAGGUCUCAGGGUGGAUGCUGGUUUCUGAUUGGAUGGUGCAGAAACCCAGCUUCCUCCAGCCGAGAUAGAAAAAUCAAUAUUCUAAUGUUCAUGUUAAAGCAGUGAUGUGUGGAUUCAUCACUCUCUGUGGAUCGGAGGCUCCAAUGAUCGUCUCAGCUGUUCUCACCACCUGCUGGAUCUGGACUGUCUGAGGCGUCUCCAUCAGAAAGUCCAGGAGCAGUGUGGAGGUGUUCAGGCCCAGCAGGAAGUCUAUCAGUGUCAGCAGAACCCAGUGUGACCAGUACUUUGUGAGAGCGGGAAUGGAAAGCUGAACUGAUCAGUGAUUGGAUCAAACAGUCUCUGAGUAAGACCUGACUCCUCUGAUUCUGUGAUGCUUUAAUAAAACAGUGAAACAUUACAGAGCAGAUACUUCAGUGACACAGAGUCAGUCACAGAAACAGGAUUGAAGUGAUCCAGGAGUGUGAACUGUGGCUGAUGAGAGAAUGAUUUGUUUAUUACGGUUUAUUCUGUGCUGCUGAGGUUAGCCUGAGAGUGCUAACAGUCCGAGCUCAGCCACAGCCUUAGAGUGUGAGCACCAAUAAGCUGUGAUGGAAACAGGAGCAAACUGAAUAAAGACAAACAUCACGCCUCCAAGA